UUGUUUCGAUCUCUAUCUUUCUACCUGUAAUAGGUAUUGGUAUUUAUCCAGAUUUUAUUCUCUCAUCCAAUCUAUGUGGUUC